UACCGAGGUCCCGAGCGUUGUUCGGAUUCACUGGGCGUAAAGGGUGCGUAGGUGGUGAAGUAAGUCGGAUGUGAAAUCUCCGGGCUCAACCCGGAAAUGGCAUUGGAAACUACCUUGCUGGAGGAUUUGAGGGGGGAUUGGAAUACUUGGUGUAGCAGUGAAAUGCGUAGAUAUCAAGUGGAACACCAGUGGCGAAGGCGAAUCCCUGGAAAAUACCUGACACUGAGGCACGAAAGCUAGGGGAGCAAACAGG
rnacentral:rRNA from 1 species